UAGGCAGACAGCAAAUGUGCUGACGGUCAGGCUGCGCAUGAAAAAACCAUCACCGCGAUGCUCCCCGCAUUGGCAGGUGCCAAUGUGAUUUAUGGAC
rnacentral:ncRNA from 1 species